AUCAUUGUGACCUCCCUUCAGGUAUUUGUACAUACUGAUGAGAUCCCACCGACUCUCCCCUUUUCCAGGCUGAACAGUCUUAGUUCUCUCAGCCUCUCUUCACAGGAAAGGUGCUCCGGUCCCCUGAUCAUUUCUGUGUUGGACUCUGUUGUAUGCCCAUGUCUCUCUUGCACUGGGGAGCCCAGAACUUGACACAGAACUACAGCCUCACCAAGCGCUGAGUAGCCCUCCCUCCUCGACCUUCUCAAAACAUCCUAACAGGCAUGUUUACCAGCAUAAGAGCUCUGCUAGCAUGUCCCUGUCACAUUAAACACAUUUCAGUGUUUUACAGCUCUGCCUUCAGAGAUGUUAACAGCUAUUUCUCCUGGUGCUGUCACAGCAGUAACAAUGAGCCUGGCACAGCGAUGGACACUGCAGUCUCUAGACAGUGCACAUUGCUCUUUGGAUAGAAAGCUCUUCUUUUGGUAUGGAUUCCUCAGCUAAAAACAUCUUCAAGUCUUGUGGCCAAUUGUGUCUAGCAACAAAAAUAGAUCAUCAGCUGAUGAGUGUUCAGUAAGGCUACUUUGAACCCAACCUAGAGACAGCAAACAUCAGACAUGGGAAUGGAAGAUGUGUGAAUGAAGGUACCUGACGUGCAUAUUUCCUCUCACUGUAGAGUAGAUUGACGUUGAAUUUUUGGGCUGCUCCAUGGAAGAUACUUCUUCUGCCUAACGAGAUCCCAGGACACUCUAACUGGAGGCUUUAAAGAAUAGGUAAGAAAAUCUUGUGAGCUUCUUCAUCCCUGCUCUGAGAUAAGCAGUAGGCCAUAAGAGUCUUCGAGGUCUCUUCCAAGCCUAUUUUGUGCAGUUCAAGGAUUUUCCAGAUCAACUCCUUCAAUGUAUGUUUUACAAUGGAGUUUGAUGAAAAACUGCUUCUAUGUCUGCUCAACACUGAAUAUAUAGUCGUGGAUUCUUUCUUUCCAGUCAUCUCAGUUUUAUGGGCUUUCAAUUAAAAUGUUGUAAAACAUUUAUUACUUUUUGCUGCAAAGCACUGAGGACAUUUACAUUAUAAAAGACACAAAUCCAUGCUGAGUUUGUGGUGCUCACUGUUGUAUUGCUUCCAGUCUUGCCUGCAGUUCUGUAUAUUUGCCAGCUGUUUGCAACAAAGUCCUUGGAUUUCAUUGAAUGUUCCCAUAUGGAUGGCUUUUUGAGCUGAACCCUCUGAAUUUGAGCUGUUUAUUAACGAAGCAAUCUAGAGACCAGAGAUAAUCUAUACUUCUAAAUACAAUGAGGUGAUGAAAAUAUCGUUGCAAAGGAUUUUAAACAAAAGCAUGGGGUACAGUCCAUUGCUUGUUUUGUCACAACAUAUCCUUAAGUCUAUGUGGAUCUGAGUCUUAAUUCCCAAUAGGACAGUUCAUGUUUCCCUGCCUCAGGGGAGUUUCAUGACAAUUGGUGAGCCAGAACCUCUUGU
rnacentral:lncRNA from 1 species